UGGACUACCAGUGCAAUAUGAUACAGUCUCUAAGAGUCGAGUUGUUUGGGAAUGCAGCUCAAAGUGGGUGGUAAAUUCCAUCUAAGGCUAAAUAUUGAUGAGAGACCGAUAGCAAACAAGUACCGUGAGGGAAAGAUGAAAAGAACUUUGGAAAGAGAGUUAACAGUACGUGAAAUUGUUAAAAGGGAAACAAUUGAAGUUAGACUUGUUAUUAUCAGUUCAACCUUUUCAAGGGAGUAUUCUGAUGAUUAACAGACCAACAUCAAUUUUUGGGUGUUGGAGAAGGGUUCAAGGAAAUGUAGCAGUCUCUGACUGUGUUAUAGUCCUGGGCUUUGAUACAAUGCUUAAGAUUGAGGAUUGCAGUAAGCCCAAUUUUUUUGGGU
rnacentral:rRNA from 1 species